CGCGUGUCCGUAACCGACGCAGUUUUGUUGUCUCGUUCCGUCGUCGUCGUCCGCCCGAACUUUCCGCGUAACAGUUGUACCGCCGGCCGCAGACGCGACAUUGACGACAACGGCUCUCGAGCAUAAUAGAGCGUGGUUUUUAUUUUAUUUUUUUUUUUUUUUGUCCGACGGGCGGCCACGGCAAUACGUUGUACGUUAAUAACAAGUAACGAUAAUAGUAGGAAAAAAAAAAAAAAACACAACGACGACGAAGGCGAUUUUUUUUUUUUAAAAAACUCUAUAAAAUCGCGUCGAAAGUCGCGGCGCGCGGGACCUCGUGAUAACCGUGACCGAAACACUAUCGUCGUCGCCGCCGCCGCCGUCCGGGCCCGCGUCGGGUCAGACAUCGUCCACUUUAUGGUGCCG